rnacentral:rRNA from 1 species
GCCUACGGGGGGCAGCAGUCGGGAAUAUUGCGCAAUGGAGGAAACUCUGACGCAGUGACGCCGCGUGCAGGAAGAAGGUUUUCGGAUUGUAAACUGCUUUAGACAGGGAAGAAACAAGACAGUACCUGUAGAAUAAGCUCCGGCUAACUACGUGCCAGCAGCCGCGGUAAUACAUAGGGGGCAAGCGUUAUCCGGAAUUAUUGGGUGUAAAGGGUGCGUAGACGGAGAAACAAGUUGGUUGUGAAAUCCCUCGGCUCAACUGAGGAACUGCAACCAAAACUAUUUCCCUUGAGUGUCGGAGAGGG